AAGGGCACCACAAGAACGCGUGGAGCAUGUGGCUUAAUUUGACUCAACGCGGGAAAUCUUACCGGGUCCGGACACACUGAAGAUUGACAGGCGUUUGUGGUGUUUAUUUUGAGGGGUUUUUAACUUUUUCAAAAUGACAUCACUAUAAAUUAUGCUAGUCCUUUCAUGAUGUGUGAUAGGUGGUGCAUGGCCGUUCUUAGUUCGUGGAGUGAUCUGUCUGCUUAAUUGCGUUUCACAAAGGGCUUUCUAACUUCUACCUGUUGCACGGGUGAAUUUUGGUUGUUUUUUCGCGUUUGUGUAUUCGUACACACCGGAAGUUCAGCUUAUUUCAUUCUUCAGUGCACGGUAGAGAAAAAGUCCUGAAGGCAACGAACGUGACCGCAACCUCUUGUUGCCUCUUUUCCUCCCCGGAUUUACGUGGUUUAGUUGGGAAUCAAUUUUUUUGGUUUUCAGUUGGACUGUGUUUAUUCGGAUGGAACAUGGUCCAUUGUUUAUUCUUUCGGGAAUGAAUAAUGACCUGCAUUUAGAGUGCUAACUAGAGGGACCGCUGACAACUUUUAAAACAGAGGAAGGUUGCGGCAAUAACAGGUCUGUGAUGCCCUUAGAUGUUCCGGGCUGCACACGUGCUACAAUGAUUAUUGCAGUGAGCAUGUAAAACUUUCUAUUCUUUUUUCUUUCUCUUUACGGAGAAGAAGAUUGAGUGGAAUCAGGUUAACCACUUGGUCUCUUUUUUGAGAUUAGGUGGCCCUGAAUCAACCUGCUUCGAAAGUAAGCAGGUAAUCAAUUCGAAGUAAUGAUUUCCUUUUCCGCACAUACUUAUAUCUCUUGUUUUGCGGUGCGCCGGUGUGGCUUUGUUUUCGGACUUGGUCACAUUUCGUGUGUAUUCGCCUGGGAAUAUGUGCUCCAUUAAUUCAUGGUGGGGACAGACCAUUGUUAAUUGUUGGUCUCGGUCUCAACUAGGAAUGCCUUGUACGGGUCUUUGGUUCAACAAACCACCCGGAAUAUGUCCCUGCCCUUUGUACACACCGCCCGUC
rnacentral:rRNA from 1 species